rnacentral:lncRNA from 1 species
UGUGUUUAUGGGUAGUGAUUUUUGAGUUAAUGGGUAUUUUGGAGAUCGAGGGAGUUGGAAAGGUGUUAUAUUAGUGAAAAAAUAAUUGGGGAUGAAAAAUUAAGGUGUUCAGGGUUUAAAACCUAUCAUUUCUAGAUAUUUUGGAUUGAAGUUGCAACAUGACCAUGUUCCCUAACAUAAGAAGACGUCGUUGCUUGUUCGGGUUUUCUUCUUCUUCUUCUUCCUCUUCUUCCUCUUCUUGUUCUUGUUCUUGUUCUUGUUCUUCUUUUUUAGCUUUUGAUGCUUUCACCAU